CCAUGUUUGAGAUCUGUAACAUACUUUAAAAGCUUCUAAAUUUCUCUUAUUUGUUCUCAAUUUGUAUUGUAGGAUUUUUCUUUUGUUGCUCUAUAAUUUCUCCUGAAAUAUGAUCUUGAAGAGCUCAUUAGUCCAAACAUAUAUUCAAACAUUUUGUUGUUCAUCAAAAUCAAUCCUUGAGGUUAACAAUCUCUCCAUUUUUGGUGAUGAUAAAACUUUAAGUAUAUGAGCAAUUGGUAUAAAG
rnacentral:lncRNA from 1 species